ACUACAGACGCCCAGGUGAGACGCUUAGUUAGAGACCUCCGCUACAGACGCCUAGGUGAGACGCUUAGUUAGAGACCUCCACUACAGACUGUCUCUCUCUCUCUUUGUGGUUCUUUGCUGAUUUUCAUUCAUUGUGAUUCUAUUAUUGAGUUUUGUGCUUUCUUCCGGUCAGGUGGGUGAGAGAGAGACGAGAGAGACGAGAGAGACGAGAGAGACGAGAGGGACAAGAGGGACGCCAGUCUCACCUGUUGUGCAGGUUUUGUCCGAGGCGAGUCCGGCUGCAGAGGAAGAGGAGGAUGAAGAAGAAGAAGAGUCUCACUUCUCUGAAGGUCAGCUGAUAGCGGCCGGCUCUCAGUCGUUCUCCGAUGACUCCGAGAUCUCAGAGGAAAUCACAGAAGAUCCAGAUCCAGAUCCAGAUGCGGAGCCCCCCCCCAGGGACCCGGGGGAGUCGACCCAGUCCGAUAGCGAUGACGGCAUCGUUCACGGCCAGACGGCGGGGAGGAAG